rnacentral:rRNA from 1 species
CAGGCUUAACACAUGCAAGUCGAGGGGCAGCAUGGUCUUAGCUUGCUAAGGCCGAUGGCGACCGGCGCACGGGUGAGUAACACGUAUCCAACCUGCCGUCUACUCUUGGACAGCCUUCUGAAAGGAAGAUUAAUACAAGAUGGCAUCAUGAGUCCGCAUGUUCACAUGAUUAAAGGUAUUCCGGUAGACGAUGGGGAUGCGUUCCAUUAGAUAGUAGGCGGGGUAACGGCCCACCUAGUCUUCGAUGGAUAGGGGUUCUGAGAGGAAGGUCCCCCACAUUGGAACUGAGACACGGUCCAAACCCCUACGGGAGGCAGCAGUGAGGAAUAUUGGUCAAUGGGCGAGAGCCUGAACCAGCCAAGUAGCGUGAAGGAUGACUGCCCUAUGGGUUGUAAACUUCUUUUAUAAAGGAAUAAAGUCGGGUAUGGAUACCCGUUUGCAUGUACUUUAUGAAUAAGGAUCGGCUAACUCCGUGCCAGCAGCCGCGGUAAUACGGAGGAUCCGAGCGUUAUCCGGAUUUAUUGGGUUUAAAGGGAGCGUAGAUGGAUGUUUAAGUCAGUUGUGAAAGUUUGCGGCUCAACCGUAAAAUUGCAGUUGAUACUGGAUAUCUUGAGUGCAGUUGAGGCAGGCGGAAUUCGUGGUGUAGCGGUGAAAUGCUUAGAUAUCACGAAGAACUCCGAUUGCGAAGGCAGCCUGCUAAGCUGCAACUGACAUUGAGGCUCGAAAGUGUGGGUAUCAAACAGGAUUAGAUACCCUGGUAGUCCACACGGUAAACGAUGAAUACUCGCUGUUUGCGAUAUACUGCAAGCGGCCAAGCGAAAGCGUUAAGUAUUCCACCUGGGGAGUACGCCGGCAACGGUGAAACUCAAAGGAAUUGACGGGGGCCCGCACAAGCGGAGGAACAUGUGGUUUAAUUCGAUGAUACGCGAGGAACCUUACCCGGGCUUAAAUUGCAGAUGAAUUACGGUGAAAGCCGUAAGCCGCAAGGCAUCUGUGAAGGUGCUGCAUGGUUGUCGUCAGCUCGUGCCGUGAGGUGUCGGCUUAAGUGCCAUAACGAGCGCAACCCUUGUUGUCAGUUACUAACAGGUUCCGCUGAGGACUCUGACAAGACUGCCAUCGUAAGAUGUGAGGAAGGUGGGGAUGACGUCAAAUCAGCACGGCCCUUACGUCCGGGGCUACACACGUGUUACAAUGGGGGGUACAGAGGGCCGCUACCACGCGAGUGGAUGCCAAUCCCCAAAACCUCUCUCAGUUCGGACUGGAGUCUGCAACCCGACUCCACGAAGCUGGAUUUGCUAGUAAUCGCGCAUCAGCCACGGCGCGGUGAAUACGUUCCCGGGCCUUGUACACACCGCCCGUCAAGCCAUGGGAGCCGGGGGUACCUGAAGUGCGUAACCGCGAGGAGCGCCCUAGGGUAAAACUGGUGACUGGGGCUAAG